GUCGAACGCUGGCGGCGUGCUUAACACAUGCAAGUCGAACGGAAAGGCCCAGCUUUUUUGUGGUGCCCGCGUGGCGCACGUGUGUGUAACACGUGAGUCACCUGCCCUUGGCUUUGGGAUAACUUCAGGAGACUGGGGCUAAUACCGGCUAGGAGAUCCUGCUGCAUGGUGGGGGUUGGAACUCUUCGUCGGUUGGGGAUAGACUCGCGGCUUAUUAGCUUGUUGGUUGGGGAGUUGCUUACCCAGGGUUUGAUGGGUAGCCGGCCUGGGAGGGUGACCAGCCACAUUGCGACUGAGAGAGGGCCCAGAGGGGUACGGGGGGCAGCAGUGGGGAAUAUGGCACAGUGGUGGGGAGUGUGUGGCAGCAACGCCGCGAGUGGGAUGAACGCUUUGGGGGGGUAAACCGCUGUAGCUUGAUACGAUGCUGGAGUGACGGUAACAGGUAAAGAAGCACCGGCUAACUACGUG
rnacentral:rRNA from 1 species